rnacentral:rRNA from 1 species
AACGAACGCUGGCGGCGUGCCUAACACAUGCAAGUCGAACGGAACCAAGGGGCUUGCUCCUUGAUUUAGUGGCGCACGGGUGAGUAACGCGUGGAUAAUCUACCCGAUGAUCUGGGAUAACAUUUCGAAAGAGGUGCUAAUACCGGAUAAGCCCACGGGGUCUUCGGACUCUGCGGGAAAAGGGGGGGACCUUCGGGCCUUCUGUCAUCGGAUGAGUCCGCGUACCAUUAGCUAGUUGGCGGUGUAGAGACCACCAAGGCGACGAUGGUUAGCUGGUCUGAGAGGAUGAUCAGCCACACUGGAACUGGGACACGGUCCAGACUCCUACGGGAGGCAGCAGUGGGGAAUUUUGCGCAAUGGGCGAAAGCCUGACGCAGCAACGCCGCGUGAGUGAUGAAGGCCUUCGGGUCGUAAAGCUCUGUCAGAGGGAAAGAAAUGUAUUGUGGCUAAUAUUCACGAUACUUGACGGUACCCCCAAAGGAAGCACCGGCUAACUCCGUGCCAGCCGCCGCAGUAAAAC